UACAGAGACUGCAAGCGUUUAUUCGGAUUCACUGGGCGUAAAGGGUGCGCAGGCGGUUGGGUGUGUCAGAUGUGAAACCCGAGGCUUAACCUCGGAACUGCGUCUGAAACUACUCGACUAGAGUACUGGAGAGGGAAACGGAAUUCACGGUGUAGCAGUGAAAUGCGUAGAUAUCGUGAGGAACACCAGAGGCGAAGGCGGUUUCCUGGACAGUUACUGACGCUCAGGCACGAAAGCAUGGGGAGCAAAAGGG
rnacentral:rRNA from 1 species